rnacentral:rRNA from 1 species
UUCCCGUAGGGUGAACCUGCGGA